ACGGGGCUGAUUAUUUACGGUACUUUUUGCAGCAGCAGAGCUCUCCGGGAUGGCAUAAGAGAGUGGCUAUUGCUACGGGAGGAGAAAACCUACAGAACGAAAGACAGAUAGCGUCGUCCCCUCGGCGAUGGCACGGCUAGAGGUGUUUUUGUUCACGGCUCUAGCUCGCAUUUCGUCUGAGAAUUCUGCUUCCUUUAUUAGCUAUUCCUGAUCCGUACUCAAACCGACACCCCCAAUUAUGGAUUGUACUGAAGUUCCACCUUCUGUAUUUUUGAGUCAAGACAAUCGAGCGAAAUAAGAGGAAACGAUCAAGGACGGCUGUGGGCUAUUAUCCAUUCCGGACUGUUCUCCAUAUAUAGACAAGAGUCGUUGAGAUGCAUGCGUGAAAGAUUUUGGUAGGCUAUUUUGUUUCAAUCCUCGGGUGCAAUAUUCAGGAUAUUCCAUUGGUUUACGCGUAAAGAACAUGGACACAAGGUGUUUUAGCUACCAGAAACUAUCCCUGUAGUUAGAAUAGAUUUCUUCGUGUUGUCAAAUUUUGCUAUUAACGGCCUGAGAUGAUAUAACUGCAGUUUAGAUGAUUGCUUUGCUCUGUUAGGAAUAAUGCGCUGCUGUAGAUAAGCCCUUUUUUAACAGCUGAUCACCUUUUAGGGUUUCAGAAAUACCCUUUUGUUAAUUUUGACAACAGAAAACUAUUUUUUAAUUUUAUUCAAAUGUAUUUCAUAUGAACGCAAGUAACCUAUUCUGAGCUGCUGUGUACAGUUGUAGGCUAUAACUUGGAAACAAAUCUCCCCACCUCACUAGCAAGGUGACAGUAGGAGUAGGGUUGCAGAGUUCUCUGUAACAGAACGACAGAACGACAAUAGUCAUGGCUCUGCCAGAUAACACCCCCAGCAUUCCAUUAGGGGAAGAAGUAAUCUUCCCUGAGAUAGUAGAGCUGAAUGUGGGUGGCCAGGUGUACAUCACUCGCUACUCAACCCUUAUCAGCGUACCAGACUCUCUCCUGUGGGAGAUGUUUAACAGGAAAUCCACCAAAGGUCUGGCGAGGGACACCAAGGGCCGUUUCUUUGUGGACCGGGAUGGUUUCUUGUUCCGGUAUAUUCUGGACUACAUGAGAGAUCAGCAGCUGGUGCUCCCAGACCACUUCCCAGAGCGGGGUCGCCUGCAGCGGGAGGCUGAGUUCUUCAUCCUACCUGAGCUCGUAAAGAUUCUGGCGCCCAAAUUCAGCAAGCAGAACUCGCUAGGCGACGAGGGGUGUCAGAGCGACCCGGAGGACUCCUCGCCGGGCAUUGAAACCGGGCGCAACCUGGCCUCGCUGGGCACUGCCGCCUGCGCCAGUCUGGUCCCCAGUGGAGACGGUAAACGCUCGGGAUUCAUCACCAUCGGUUAUCGCGGCUCUUAUACAUUGGGGCGCGACAGCCAGACCGAUGCCAAGUUCAGACGUGUUGCUCGCAUUAUGGUCUGUGGCAAGACGUCGCUGGCUAAAGAGGUGUUUGGGGAGACGCUGAACGAGAGCCGGGACCCAGACCGACCCCCAGAGCGCUACACGUCACGAUACUACCUCAAAUUCACCUUCCUGGAGCAGGCCUUUGACAGGCUGGCGGACGCCGGGUUUCACAUGGUGGCCUGUAACUCCACGGGGACCUGCGCCUUCGCUCACGAGCAGACGGACGACAAGAUCUGGACCAGCUACACUGAAUACGUGUUCUACCGUGAGUGAGACCAUCAUCAUCAUCCCUGGUCCCCGGUCCCGCUAGUGGUCCCCAGCAUCCAGCCUCCUCUACCCUUGUCUCCCUGGAUCCAGCCCUGGGUCCCCUUGCCUCCCUGGAUCCAGCCCUGGGUCCCCUUGCCUCCCUGUAUCCAGUCCUGGGCCCCCUUGCAUCCCUGGAUCCAUCAAUUAUUCCCUUGCCUCCUGGACCCCAGCCUCCAGCCCCUGCCCCCCAGCACCUGCCCCCUGGCUUGUUGGCCCCCUUAGUGCUCCCUAGCCUCCAGCCCUUGCCCCCCCCCCGCCACCAGCCCUGGAUUCCUGCUUCGAGCAGGAAUCCAGAACCAUCCUGAACCAUCGCCCCCGCACCAAGCCUCAGAGACCCAACCACAGCCCCCCUAACCAUCCUACAGAGACUGCCCCCCCACCCUCCAUGUACUGUCCUUCCUCCUGUAUAUAGUAUUUGCCUUGGUGAAGGACAAUGCUGUGUGUAAAAGAGCUUGUUUAGUCCAGUUCAGGCCCUGCCUGGUCUGUGUAUAACUAACUUUAGCAGGCUGGAGGGGCCAAUCGGAAAAGGGCCUAGAUUGAAGUACUAUUUUGUUCUGAACCUCUGCUGCUGCUUACUCCAACAGACCCUCCUACUCCUCUGAACUAAAAUGGCCAAAUAAUGUGACAUCUAAGCAGCCUAGAGGAAUGAGAGAGAGAGUGGCCAGCCCGGCACAAACAAGAGCAAAGUGUCACACAAUACGAAAGUCUUUCAUUUCCUCCUUCCCCUCUUCUUAUUUUCCUUAUGAUAUGUCUGAGACCAAACUGUUGGGAAAGGGGCCAUUCUCUUUUACUAGUCAAAUGGGGCGGCAGGUAGCCUAGUGGUUAGAGCGUCGGACUAGCAACCGAAAGGUUGCAAGAUCGAAUCCCCAAGGUCGAAUCCCCGAGCUGACAAGGUAAAUAUCUGUCGUUCUGCCCCUGAACAAGGCAGUUAACCCACUGUACCUAGGCCGUCAAUGAAAAUAAGAACUUGUUCUUAACUGACUUUCCUAGUUAAAUAAAGGUAAAAUAAAAAAAUGAAUUAUCAUCUUUUUCUUGUAAAGAUAACGUCUCACCUUUUUGUUAAGUCUCUGCUUGUAAAGACAACCAGCUAACAUGAUUGCCAUCUUGUCUCAGAAAAAAAGCACAGUGAACUCCUUAUAAGGGAAAAGAGGACCUAUAUGGACCAACAAUAUCCUCUCGAGCUGUUCACGUAUGUCUUCUUUAGGACAACCCAGGUAUUUGCAUUCUAGAGGGGAUUCUUAAUGUUAGAAAAACAACGCUGGGUCUUGUCCGAGAGUCAAAGCUAACAAACAAGGGAGGAAAAAUGCGAGAAAAGAUUGUAUUUGACUGCAAGAAAGAGAAAUAAGUGGUUUUAGUACAGAGUGGUUGUAGUACAGGUUGAGGGUUUGUCGGAAAUGGCACCCUAUCCUCUAUGUAGUGCACUACUUUUGACCAAAGCCCUAUGCAGGUCCUGGUCAAAACUAGUGCACUACAUGGGGAAUAGGGUGCUUGAAGUGUGUUAUUUGAUUGUUCGAUGGAGUGUUGAGAAUUCUAAUUGCCCAUGGCCCAUGCCUGGAAGACCAGAGGAGAUGUGAAGUGUUACAUCACAAUGUCCACAAAACCUCUCCUUCUACUCAUCCUCAUACUCUUCCUCCUCCUCUCAUCUUGGUUUAAAUACCAACUCUCUGUUUUUUACUUUCUUCAAACAGUAACAUUUUUACAGGGAUACGUUUGUUAAUGAAUGCCCACAGUGUUUUGGCUCUUAGCCCUCUUCUGAAACUGUGGUUUACAUUUAUGAAGGACAAUCAUUUUUCUCAUUGGAGUGUGUUUUUACUCUAUCUAUCCCAAGCUCUUCUAUUCAGUUCAGUAUUACAGUUUUAAGCUCUUUGAUAUUUGGUAGCUUUCAUUGACUGUAAUGUGUAUACCCAUGAGAAGGAGAUAGGUUUAUGCCAUUACCAGCCAAAGAAUGACAUUCUCUCAAAAAUCUAGCAGCUAAACAACAGGACAGGACUUUGGAUAGGACAUGGAUAUUGUGCAUAUUUUUGGGGAAUGUUGUAGUACAGUUGAUUCCUGAUAAGUACACCUCUUAUAAGUGCUAAAUCACUGGUUAAGUGCACGUCGUCAGUACAGUCACACCAGUUGUAUUUUAGAAUUUGACUGUAGUUGGACUGAACAGUAAUUGUUCCCACAGCAACUAUAACCACAGUAACAGGAGAAAGUGUGAAUGGUUAAAGGUUAAGCGGAGUUAAGUGGUAGGGGUCAUUUUCAGGUAUAGCCUCAGGACAAGUCUGCUUAUCAACAACAACUUCACAACUUGAACCUACAGUACCUCAGUAGGUAAAAUAAAGCUUAGAAUCCUCUCCAAAUACCAAGGAACACUAAUUAUCUGAAAAGGCAAGACUUGUACCAGUAAUAAUCAAUGGAUCAUCUAGUAAUAUGACUUGUAAAGUACAGAAUAUUCACCCUGAUAAAGAGAAACUCUUGUUGAAGAAACUGCCUUGACGGUUCGGUAGACAGUGAUUUUAAUUUGAGUGAAGGUGUGAACAAGACAUUCUGAAUGGCUGACAGAAGAUAAAUGUUUUAUUGGAUAUCGCUAGAGUAUGAUAGUACAGUGUUGACAGCAGCAUUGAGUCAACAGUGUCAGCUUCAGUGUCGAUGUCACAAGUCAAACAUAGACCAAACAGCAAUGGGGGAAAAAAAACAUGUUUGUCAUACAGUAGGUAUACAAUACACCCUGUAAAAUGUUGGUUGCUAUACCUACUAAAUGUUUAGGAACAUAAUUAGUGUGUGACUUUCUUUUCAUAGCUUACUCUCCGUUAAUCAGAACCUCUACGAAACAGUUUUUGGGUGUGCGUCAGCUUAUUCCUUUUGUUAUACAGCAGGCAAAAGGAAAAUGUAAUCUGUCAAUUCAAAUGUGUUAUUUAUCUUCUAUUACACUUGCAUUGUACAUCCUUUUAUGACUUGUUUAGUAACUAAGCUGGUAAAGUAGGGUGACAUAUUUCAGUAGAGUUGUGUACGCUCUCAUUGAUAUUAUUAGUGUUGUAACUGAAAAGUGUUAAAAGAAUAUAAAAUAUUUCACAAGUAAAUCCUUUCAAAUGUUUUUACUGAAGGGACCACAGGCCUAUAAAUGUAAUUGUAUACUUCCAAGACGUUGCACCUCUUUCUGUCUCUAUCUCUCUUUCUUAAUUAGACAUGAAUAUACUGUAGUAGCCUAGUAUGUCAGUCACCAUACAUUACUACUGUAGUAACCUAGUAUCAGUCAGUCACCAGACAUUACUACUGUAGUAACCUAGUAUCAGUCACCAGACAUUACUACUGUAGUAACCUAGUAUCAGUCAGUCACCAGACAUUACUACUGUAGUAACCUAGUAUCAGUCAGUCACCAGACAUUACUACUGUAGUAACCUAGUAUCAGUCAGUCACCAGACAUUACUACUGUAGUAACCUAGUAUCAGUCACCAGACAUUACUACUGUAGUAACCUAGUAUCAGUCAGUCACCAGACAUUACUACUGUAGUAACCUAGUAUCAGUCAGUCACCAGACAUUACUACUGUAGUAACCUAGUAUCAGUCAGUCACCAGACAUUACUACUGUAGUAACCUAGUAUCAGUCAGUCACCAGACAUUACUACUGUAGUAACCUAGUAUCAGUCACCAGACAUUACUACUGUAGUAACCUAGUAUCAGUCAGUCACCAGACAUUACUAAACAUAGUUGUUGUUGAGCAAUAGCCAGGUCAGGUAGAUUGCAAACAGGGAUCACUGGUUUCCAUCGAAACAGAGAAAACAAAGUCUCUGUUUUAAGCCAAAGGAGUAUUUUUCUCCCAUUGCCCUCUCUGGUGCUCAAACAGUAAGACGUACCAUUUGUGGGCGAUGGUGCAGACAGGUCGUUCUUCAUUGGCGUCAAAAUUGGACAACAAUCCAUGUCCUGAGUACGUUGGGAAAUGACUUCAAAACCAGCCACUAGGGACAAAGUGAGUGCUAUUAUCAUCAAGUAGGCUUGGGUAAUCCCUUGACUCUGGAUCAGAAGGUUGGGUGUUUGAUUCCAGUUGUGGACACUGGUUUUUAUUUCUGGUUUCAACCCUUUCCCAAACCUUAACCAUUUGGAAUGAGUGCCUAAACUUAACCUUUAACUUUGAAAGUUGACGUUUGGAAAAAUGGAACGAUACAGAGCAGCAGGAGAACGUGGCUGAACAUCUAAUUUUGCUGUGAGACUGAGACCUUGUUGGAUGGUGUUGACUUGUGUGUGAUGUGUAAAAAAUAUAUAGAUAUUUUUUGAACAAUUAAGUAUGAAUCCACUCAACACAUCAUGUCCUUGUUAUGUAAAGUGAGGUGAGUGAGUCUAUUAAGUAUGAAUCAAGUCAAUGAAUCAUAACCUUAUAUAAAGUGAGUAAGUCAUAAAUGUUUAAAUGGCUUAGACGUCGGAAGCUCUCAAAAUAUUCUCAGUCUGGCACUCGCACGCACGCACACACACACACACACGUUAAAAUCGUUAUGUGCUGCGUCUUUCUCUUCUAGAUCUGUCUAUUUUGGGAUGAUGGCAGUGGAAUCCUCUAUAGUGUGUUGUCACAGUGCCUGGAAUGUUUUUCCGACCAAUCCAAACUGAGUCUGGAGUUAAUGAGGUGGUGGUAUGAGUGUGGGUUUUGUCUCGUCAGUGAGUGACUGCACAUCCACAUCGUAGUGUAAAACGCCAUAGCAAGCCAUUAGCUGCGAGGUGUAGAAGCACAUUGAGGGAAUUUCAGAAGGUAGUGUCCAUGCUACAGGUCUAUACCUCUGUGGUUAACUAUGAGGCUCAGCAUUCAACAGUAAUUACUUUGCCACCAUUGGCCUAUUUAUUGCCUUACCUCCUUACUCCAUUUCCACACACUGUAUAUUUUUCUAUAGUGUUAUUGACUGUACGUUUGUUUAUCCCAUGUGUAACUCUGUGUUGUUGUUUUUGUCGCACUGCUUUGCUUUAUCUUGGCCAGGUCGCAGUUGUAAAUGACAACUUGUUCUCAACUGGCCUACCUGGUUACAUAAAGGUGAAAUUAAAAUAAGAAAAAAACACUGAUGUAAGAGUAUCACGUAGAUACGCUGAAGCUAUCCCGGAUGGUCAUCUAAACCUGGUUUGAAAAGUCUAGCAUGUUUGGUUGUGAGCCAUAUAGCGAGCAGGUGUAAACCAGAAUACCAUGUUGUGAUCGUACAAUAAAGACAUUUUAUCAUGAA